GAAGUUUGAUGCUGAUGUAUCACUUGAUGUUAUAGCCAUGAGAACACCUGGUUUUAGUGGAGCAGAUCUUGCAAAUCUGUUAAAUGAGGCUGCUAUAUUGGCUGGCCGACGUGGCAAGACUGCGAUUUCAUCUAAAGAGAUUGAUGAUUCAAUAGAUAGGAUUGUGGCCGGAAUGGAAGGAACGGUUAUGACAGAUGGGAAGAGCAAAAGCUUGGUUGCAUACCAUGAGGUUGGCCAUGCCAUUUGUGGGUGAGUGAGAUAAGAGCUUCUUAAUUUUCUUUUGGUGUUUCUAUUUCUAAAUCUUUUUCUAUGUUGAAGCAUUGGAUUUCCAAAGCCUUGUUCCUUCUAAGAUUAAAUUUCAUUUUCUUUGGUACUAUAGUCUGUUUUAUAACUAAUGGACCUUAUCAUGUAAGAUUCUCAUCAGAGGUAUGUGGGGCCUAGUGCAACUGUACACAAUAUAAUAAUGCAGAGAAAUUGUUUUAAUAGUCUAUUGAAAAUUUUCAUUUGUAAAUAAAGAAACAUAGAUCAUGUUUUGUCACAAAAAUGGGAAAACAUUCUAAAAUCACACAAAGUACUAUGAUCUUUUGAACUUGUGUAACUUUUACAUUGUCACAUGAUUUGGAUGCCAGAGUGUGUAGUUUGACUUCUGUGUAAAACUCUCCUGUUCAUAGUUGGGUUGUUAUCAUGCUUAGGACUAAUAUUACUGAAAGCAUUAUUAUGUUAUUGGGUUAAAAGGCAUGACCAUUUGAUUGUGAACAUUUAAGUUUCGGGCCCUAUGAUGUUUUUGGUGGGACAAUAAUGAAAUCCUGCGGUGCUCCUAGACCAUUAAUUGCCUAUCUGAGAUAUUCAGGAAACUGAAAUUGGUGUCGUGAUUAUGGUUGGUGCUAGUUAUAUUCCCAAAUUUCCAAUGAUUUAAUUGUUGUCAAGUUUGUUGGUAAUAAUAUUUUUUUAUUAUAUAUGAACAUUGCCCAUGUUUUUCUGCUUGCUAGUGCUUUUCUGAUCCUCACUGUUUGUCCAUCAUCUACCCUCCAGUGACUUUUUUCUGCUCUCAUUAUGCAUGCUUGUUAAUAUUAUCUGUUAAUAAUAUGUGCUCUAGUGUAGUAUGAAUAUUUGAGAAACUUAUAGAUUGCGAUGUCUUCUUCAUGUCACAGAACUUUGACACCAGGUCAUGAUCCUGUUCAAAAGGUCACCCUGAUUCCACGUGGCCAGGCCCGUGGUCUUACCUGGUUCAUUCCUUCAGAUGACCCCACCUUAAUCUCCAAGCAACAACUCUUUGCAAGAAUUGUUGGUGGACUCGGUGGCAGGGCUGCAGAGGAAGUC
rnacentral:lncRNA from 1 species